GAUGAACGCUGGCGGUGUGCCUAAUACAUGCAAGUCGAACGGGAGGUAGCAAUACCUCUAGUGGCGAACGGGUGAGUAACGCGUUGGUGACCUGCCCCGAAGUGUGGGAUACCAGUUCGAAAGGACUGUUAAUACCGCAUGUGGUUGUGGAGAUUAGAAGCUUUGCAACUAAAGGAUUAUAUUCGCUUCGGGAGGGGCCUGCGUCCCAUCAGCUAGUUGGUAAGGUAACGGCUUACCAAGGCGAUGACGGGUAGGGGACCUGAGAGGGUGAUCCCCCACAAUGGAACUGAAACACGGUCCAUACACCUACGGGUGGCAGCAGUAGGGAAUAUUGCAAAAUGGGCGCAAGCCCGAUGCAGCAACGCCGCGUGGGCGAUGAAGGCCUUCGGGUCGUAAAGCCCUUUUUGAGGGGAUGAGGAAGGACAGUACCCUCAGAAUAAGCCUCGGCUAACUACGUGCCAGCAGCCGCGGUAAAACGUAGGAGGCGAGCGUUAUCCGGAUUUACUGGGCGUAAAGCGCGUGCAGGCGGAUUGGAAAGUUGGAUGUGAAAGCUCCCGGCUUAACUGGGAGAGGUCGUUCAAAACUUCCAGUCUUGAGUGCAGUAGAGGGAAGUGGAAUUCCGGGUGUAGUGGUGAAAUGCGUAGAUAUCCGGAGGAACACCAGUGGCGAAAGCGACUUCCUGGACUGUAACUGACGCUCAGACGCGAAAGCUAGGGUAGCAAACGGGAUUAGAGACCCCGGUAGUCCUAGCUGUAAACGAUGUAGACUUGGCGUAGGAGGGUUUAAAUCCUUCUGUGCCGAAGCAAACGCGAUAAGUCUACCGCCUGGGGACUACGGCCGCAAGGUUA
rnacentral:rRNA from 1 species